rnacentral:sRNA from 1 species
GUUUCGGUCUGUUGUGGACAAAUGUAGUGUACAUGUGUAUCAAUUGCGCCGGCUGUUACAAUUAAUCCUUCAGCUGACAACACUUCUGUACCGGUUCCAACAACCAAUCUAGGGUUGACCCCGUCCAUUGUGUCAGGAUUACCCGCUUUUCCGAUACCUGCAAUUUUUCCAUCUUUAAUACCAAUAUCGGCUUUUACAAUGCCCCAAUAAUCCAACACAAUUGCAUUGGUUAAGCAAAAAUCCAAUGCACCUUCAUGAUUGGUCAUACCAGACUUUUGUCCCAUACCGUCAC